AUUCCAGCUCCAAUAGCGUAUAUUAAAGUUGUUGCGUCUAAAAAGCUCGUAGUUUGAAAACUUGCCUUGGCUUACAACAGACGUCUAAGGGCGUCACCGUUUGUCGAGAGCAAAUAUGGGUGACUGUUCUUGCCUUCUUCACUGAUUGGCUCGUAAAAGUCAUCGAAGAUCACUUUGAUUAAAUUAGGGUGCUCAAAGCAAGUGUGCUACUUGAAUAUGAAUGCAUGGAAUGAUGGAAUAUGUUGUUGUUCUAUUUGUUGGUUUUUUGAAUGACGAAAUGAUUGAAAGGAACUGUUGGGGGCAUUCGUAUUGUUGUGAGAGAGGUGAAAUUCUUAGACCAUAGCAAGACGAACUACUGCGAAAGCAUUUGCCAAGAAUGUUUUCAUUGAUCAAGAACGAAAGUUAGAGGUUCGAAGGCGAUCAGAUACCGCCCUAGUUCUAACCAUAAACUAUGCCGACUAGCAAUCUGCUUUGUAUUUUUAUGACUAAGUGAGAGGCCACGGGAAACCAAAGUAGGGUUAUGGGGGAAGUAUGGUUGCAAAGCUGAAACUUAAAGGAAUUGACGGAAGGGCACCACCAGGAGUGGAGCCUGCGGCUUAAUUUGACGCAACACGGGAAAACUUACCUGGUCCUGACACUAGAAGGAUUGACAGAUUGAUAGCUCUUUCUUGAUCUGGUGGAUGGUGGUGCAUGGCCGUUCUUAGUUGGUGGAGUGAUUUGUCUGGUUAAUUCCGAUAACGAACGAGACUCUAGCCUAUUAAAUAAUAUGCGGAAUCAAUUUCUCUCGCGUUAUUUCUUAAUGGGAUCAAGCGUGUUUAACGCUUUGAAACAGAGCAAUAACAGUCCGUGAUGCCCUUAGAUGUUCGGGGCUGCACGCGCGCUACAUUGAAGAACAAAGUGAGCCCUCUGGCUUUUAACAAAGCUAGAAAUCUUUUAAUGUUCUUCUUAAUGGGGAUAGGGGAUUGCAAUUGUGCCCCUUGAACGAGGAAUUCCCAGUAAGUGCUAGUCAUUAGCUAGUACUGAUUACGUCCCUGCCCUUUGUACACACCGCCCGUCGCUACUACCGAUUGAAUAGUUUAGUGAGAUCAUCUGAGUGUUUGUAUGUGCAUUCUGUGCUUGUAUGGUGUACGAAGAAGAUCAAACUUGAUUAUUUAGAGGAAGUAAAAGUCGUAACAAGGUUUCCGUAGGUGAACCUGCGGAAG
rnacentral:rRNA from 1 species